rnacentral:rRNA from 1 species
UACGGGGGGAGCAAGCGUUGUUCGGAUUUACUGGGCGUAAAGGGCGCGUAGGCGGCCAGCACAAGUCAGUUGUGAAAUCUCCGAGCUUAACUCGGAAAGGUCAACUGAUACUGUGCGGCUAGAGUGCGGAAGGGGCAACUGGAAUUCUUGGUGUAGCGGUGAAAUGCGUAGAUAUGCGGAGGAACACCGAUGGCGAAGGCAAUCCCCUGGGCCUGCACUGACGCUCAUGCACGAAAGCGUGGGGAGCGAACAGG